AUUGAACGCUGGCGGCAGGCCUAACACAUGCAAGUCGAACGAGUGGCGGACGGGUGAGUAAUGUCUGGGAAACUGCCUGAUGGAGGGGGAUAACUACUGGAAACGGUAGCUAAUACCGCAUACCAUCAGAUGUGCCCAGAUGGGAUUAGCUAGUUGGUGGGGUAACGGCUCACCAAGGCGACGAUCCCUAGCUGGUCUGAGAGGAUGACCAACCCAAAUGGAACUGAGACACGGGCCAGAGCCCUACGGGAGGCAGGAGGGGGGAAUAUUGGACAAGGGGGGCAAGCCUUAUGCAGCCCUGCCGCGUGUAUGAAGGAGGCCUUCGGGUUGUAAAGGACUUUCAGCGGGGAGGCGUUACCCGCAGAAGAAGCACCGGCUAACUCCGUGCCAGCAGCCGCGGUAAUUC
rnacentral:rRNA from 1 species